rnacentral:misc_RNA from 1 species
UUGCUGCGUAAUGAAUUCAAGGUCCCGAUCAUACUGCCCUCCGAUCAUAUAAGCUUCAAUAUAGCGCAAGCACUGAGCAGGAACGGUUCGCCACCCUCGCACAUUGUUGGCCUCCACCGCCAACCUCCAGCUCAGGCAAUAAUUAUUAUUUGCUGCAUCAGGCGUCAGGUUGGCCCUAGUGUAAGGCUUGAGGCCUGCCACCGCCUUAGAGAAUAUUGCUAAGAAGAAAAGCACCAUUAGCUCCUGCAAGCGCUGCGCCAUUGUGCUAAACAUAAUAGGCGUUUUUUC